rnacentral:rRNA from 1 species
UUUUUUUUUUUUUUUUUGUUACCCCCAGACGACGCUGCGGCGUGCCUAAUACAUGCAAGUCGUACGCUUCUUUUUCCACCGGAGCUUGCUCCACCGGAAAAAGAGGAGUGGCGAACGGGUGAGUAACACGUGGGGUAACCUGCCCAUCAGAAGGGGGAUAACACUUGGAAACAGGUGCUAAUACCGUAUAACAAUCGAAACCGCAUGGUUUUGAUUUGAAAGGCGCUUUCGGGUGUCGCUGAUGGAUGGACCCGCGGUGCAUUAGCUAGUUGGUGAGGUAACGGCUCACCAAGGCCACGAUGCAUAGCCGACCUGAGAGGGUGAUCGGCCACAUUGGGACUGAGACACGGCCCAAACUCCUACGGGAGGCAGCAGUAGGGAAUCUUCGGCAAUGGACGAAAGUCUGACCGAGCAACGCCGCGUGAGUGAAGAAGGUUUUCGGAUCGUAAAACUCUGUUGUUAGAGAAGAAUAAGGAUGAGAGUAACUGUUCAUCCCUUGACGGUAUCUAACCAGAAAGCCACGGCUAACUACGUGCCAGCAGCCGCGGUAAUACGUAGGUGGCAAGCGUUGUCCGGAUUUAUUGGGCGUAAAGCGAGCGCAGGCGGUUUCUUAAGUCUGAUGUGAAAGCCCCCGGCUCAACCGGGGAGGGUCAUUGGAAACUGGGAGACUUGAGUGCAGAAGAGGAGAGUGGAAUUCCAUGUGUAGCGGUGAAAUGCGUAGAUAUAUGGAGGAACACCAGUGGCGAAGGCGGCUCUCUGGUCUGUAACUGACGCUGAGGCUCGAAAGCGUGGGGAGCAAACAGGAUUAGAUACCCUGGUAGUCCACGCCGUAAACGAUGAGUGCUAAGUGUUGGAGGGUUUCCGCCCUUCAGUGCUGCAGCUAACGCAUUAAGC